rnacentral:rRNA from 1 species
AUGAGAUGAGCCUGCGGCCCAUCAGGUAGUUGGUAGGGUAACGGCCUACCAAGCCGAAGACGGGUAGCUGGUCUGAGAGGAUGAUCAGCCACACUGGAACUGAGACACGGUCCAGACUCCUACGGGAGGCAGCAGUGGGGAAUCUUGCGCAAUGGGCGAAAGCCUGACGCAGCGACGCCGCGUGAGUGAUGAAGGCCCUAGGGUUGUAAAGCUCUUUCACCGGUGAAGAUAAUGACGGUAACCGGAGAAGUAGCCCCGGCUAACUUCGUGCCAGCCGCCGCGGUAAUU